rnacentral:rRNA from 1 species
UACAGAGGGGGCAAGCGUUGUUCGGAAUUACUGGGCGUAAAGGGCGCGUAGGCGGCCCGCUAAGUCGAACGUGAAAUCCCCGAGCUCAACUCGGGAACUGCGUCCGAUACUGGCGGGCUUGAAUCCGGGAGAGGGAUGCGGAAUUCCAGGUGUAGCGGUGAAAUGCGUAGAUAUCUGGAGGAACACCGGUGGCGAAGGCGGCAUCCUGGACCGGCACUGACGCUGAGGAGCGAAAGCCAGGGGAGCAAACGGG